rnacentral:lncRNA from 1 species
GCAAGGAUUAAAAACGCAAUUAUUCUAGGUUUCUGAACACAUAAUGUAAACAUGGAUCAAAUCAAAACAGUGCAUAAGUUUUAGGAAAGAAUUAAAAAGCAAAAGAAACAUAAAUGGGACUCAAUCAGAUGACAGCAAAACGAGGAGGGACCAAAUGCGAAAUUCACCCUAAAACAAUUAAGCACGCCUAAUUAAACCCUAAAAAAACGUUUGAAUGGCACUCUGCCACUUUCCACAGCAAAUGAAGGAAAUCCUUCCCCAUAUCUAUCUUCAUUUGGCCGACUAAGAAAUCAAAACCCUAACCUCUCUUGAUUUUCCCUCAACCGAUCCUAACACCCCUCUCUUAAGUACCGAUCUGCCUCUAUCAAUGGUGACGAAUAGAUUCCUGCUUCGAGGGACGACAAUCUCGACCACGAGAUUCCUUCUACGCUUCGAUUUCAACGAAGAAGACGGAAUCUCUUAGCACAUCCGCAAGGUAAAUCUCUUGUUUUCUCUUUGUUUUCAAAUGCAAAAGACUAAUGGAAUCGAAAGAAAAAAAAAAGAAGAAAUUAAAAAUAUUUGAAUCCAAAAUCACCUUUUCAAUUUUGAUUUCUUUUUUCGAUCUCCCUCCCCCCGAUUUAAAACCCAAAGUUCUAGAAAAAGCCUUUUAAAAGUAAAAUCAAACAAAUAACCCCUCGGUUCCCUUCCCCAAUCUAAAAAAGGUAACCUUUUUUAUGUUUUCUUUGAAUAUCUAUACAUGUAUGUGCUAUAUUCGAAAAUAAACUUGCAAAGGAAAUGGAAAACAGAACCAAAAGACCACCUUGAUUCCCCCUUUUUUUGUAUUGAUUUCCUUGUAUGCGUAAAAAAAAAGACGAUACAUUGAUAUUUCUUGGCUUUUUAUAGCCACAACAAAAGAGAAAAAUUACAAAGUUUCUGCUUGGUUUUUUCUCUUGCUGCUGUGUCCGUCCUUUGCUUGUCUUAUUUUGCAGGUACGGAGGCAACGUGGCGGGGGUAGCUGGCGUGUAUGGAUGUUGCUGGUGGCGUAGCUGCUGCUAGGGCUAGGGUUUGCUGCAAACAUGGUUUAAGUUUUGGGCCCUUUUUGGGCUUAAGGUUUUAUUAGUUUUGGGUUUUAAAUUUGGGUUUGGGUUUGUAAUGUUUUGGGUUUUAAAUUUAGGUCAUGUAAUUUGGAUUUUGAUGAUGGACUAUUAAUUUAUUUAGUCUUUAUUUUUGAUUUUUUAGUCUAGGCCAAAAUUUGCUUAUUACACAUGCCAUUAUAUCGAAUUAAUUUACUGAAAGUACCAAAAGAGCCGAUGGAUAGUGUGAAAUAGCUCCGACCAGCUUCCAACUCGUACAAGCUUCCAAAUUACUAUAAAACACAGAAAAAAUAUUUAAGCUUAGUAAGUUCGUAUAAUUCGAAAUUUAACUUUCCAAUUAUUCACAUUUAAGGUAAGCAUACAAACAUAUCCAAACCAAUUUGACCAAAA